rnacentral:lncRNA from 10 species
UUGUCAUUCCUGAACAAAUGCCAAUGCCACCGUCCUCUCUCGCAUUCAGUAUUCAGAGGGCAAAUUCACGAAGCAGGAUCCUACCGGCCGCCGUGUCAGCCUGCAGUUCCCAUACUGGGUCCUGCAGUCUCUUCAUUGUCCUGUGGGAUAUUAAAAGGACUUCUGUGAAAAAGAUAAUUAUUAAAUGAUAUUGUCAUUCUAAAAGGCACUUUAAAAAAUGUGUGUGAGAACUGUCAACAUACACAUAUGGUGGUUUUAUUGGUUUUCAGUAAAUUUCUUUAAAGCAAUUCUAGCAAUCUUUUUCAGUUGUUCUUUGUAUUUAAAAUGUGAAUAGUAAGGCAGAGCUGCAAUUUGUGAGAUGUUUUGUUGUGUUUGAGUGCAAAGUUAAGUGCGAAUUUUCCUUUAGAAGUGAAAUAUUUAACUGAAUUUGCAUAUGAUCUUUAGAAUUAAGUUGUAUUCCUUUAGGAGCCUGCUAGUACGCCUCUGCAUCUUGUGACAAUGAGAUGUGUGCGCCAGGAAUGGCAGCCACCCUGGGCAUGACCCCAGGACACAAGUGAGCUGCCCUUGGGGAGGGGCAGGGCGGGGCCCUCCUCCUGCAGCCCUGGCUGUUAUCAUGGUUUGCUCGUGGGAGUGACAAGCUAGGCACAGUCAUUUGACACAGGCUGCUUCUAGAUUAGAAAUGAAAUGUGGUCCUCAGUGCAAUUAAAACGUUUCUGAGUCCUCAACAGGAAGAGCCGGGAAAGAGCAGGUUCUGUCAGCUGGGGCCAGGUAACGCCACGUGUCUUCUCUUUGUGUGGCUGUGGAGCACGGUGUGCAUAUACGUCCUG